GUCCAUUGUCAUACCACCCUGACCGCACCUGCUCUCAUCUGAUCGCGGAAACUAAGCAGGGUUGGGCCUGGUUAGUGCUUGGAUGAGAGACCGCCUGGGAAUACUGGGGUCUGUAGGUU
ensembl:rRNA 5S_rRNA 5S ribosomal RNA